AGUGAACGCUGGCGGCGUGCCUAAUACAUGCAAGUAGAAGGAAGUGGCGCACGGGUGAGUAAUAUAUAGCUAAUAUGCCCCUUGCUGGAGGACAACAGUUAGAAAUGCCUGCUAAUACUCCAUAGCAAGGGAUGAGACUAUAUCGUAUCAGCUAGUCGGUGGGGUAACGGCCUACCGAGGCUAUGACGAGUAAAUGGUCUGAGAGUAUGAUCAGCCACAUUGGAACUGAAACUCGGUCCAAAUUCCUACGGGAGGCAGCAGUAGGUAAUAUUGCGCAAUGGGGUAAACCAUGACGAAGCAACGCCGCGUGGUGGAUGACACUUUUCGGAGCGUAAACUCCUUUUGUUAGGGAAGCGGUACCUAACGAAUAAGCACCGGCUAACUCCGUGCCAGCCGCGGCGGUAAUAC
rnacentral:rRNA from 1 species